UACGUAGGGUGCGAGCGUUGUUCGGAUUUACUGGGCGUAAAGGGAGCGUAGGUGGUUAGGUAAGCCCUCCGGGAAAUCUUCAGGCUUAACCUGAAAAGGUCGGGGGGGACUGCCUGGCUAGAGGACGGGAGAGGAGCGCGGAAUUCCCGGUAUAGUGGUGAAAUGCGUAGAUAUCGGGAGGAACACCAGUGGCGAAGGCGACUUCCUGGCCUGUUCUUGACGCUGAGGCGCGAAAGCUAGGGGAGCAAACGGG
rnacentral:rRNA from 1 species